rnacentral:rRNA from 1 species
GAUGAACGCUGGCGGCGUGCCUAAUACAUGCAAGUCGAGCGAACAGACGAGGAGCUUGCUCCUCUGACGUUAGCGGCGGACGGGUGAGUAACACGUGGAUAACCUACCUAUAAGACUGGGAUAACUUCGGGAAACCGGGGCUAAUACCGGAUAAUAUAUUGAACCGCAUGGUUCAAUAGUGAAAGACGGUUUUGCUGUCACUUAUAGAUGGAUCCGCGCCGCAUUAGCUAGUUGGUAAGGUAACGGCUUACCAAGGCGACGAUGCGUAGCCGACCUGAGAGGGUGAUCGGCCACACUGGAACUGAGACACGGUCCAGACUCCUACGGGAGGCAGCAGUAGGGAAUCUUCCGCAAUGGGCGAAGGCCUGACGGAGCAACGCCGCGUGAGUGAUGAAGGUCUUCGGAUCGUAAAACUCUGUUAUUAGGGAAGAACAAAUGUGUAAGUAACUAUGCACGUCUUGACGGUACCUAAUCAGAAAGCCACGGCUAACUACGUG